rnacentral:rRNA from 1 species
UGGCUCAUUAUAUAAGUUAUCGUUUAUUUGAUAGUACCUUACUACUUGGAUAACCGUGGUAAUUCUAGAGCUAAUACAUGCUAAAAAUCCCGACUUCGGAAGGGAUGUAUUUAUUAGAUUAAAAACCAAUGCCCUCCGGGGCUCACUGGUGAUUCAUGAUAACUUCUCGAAUCGCACGGCCUUGCGCCGGCGAUGGUUCAUUCAAAUUUCUUCCCUAUCAACUUUCGAUGUUUGGGUAUUGGCCAAACAUGGUUGCAACGGGUAACGGAGGGUUAGGGCUCGACCCCGGAGAAGGAGCCUGAGAAACGGCUACUACAUCCAAGGAAGGCAGCAGGCGCGCAAAUUACCCAAUCCCGACACGGGGAGGUAGUGACAAUAAAUACUGAUACAGGGCUCUUUUGGGUCUUGUAAUUGGAAUGAGUACAAUUUAAAUCCCUUAACGAGGAACAAUU